rnacentral:rRNA from 1 species
AUUGAACGCUGGCGGCAGGCUUAACACAUGCAAGUCGAGCGGGGUGAUGGUGCUUGCACUAUCACUUAGCGGCGGACGGGUGAGUAAUGCUUAGGAAUCUGCCUAUUAGUGGGGGACAACAUCUCGAAAGGGAUGCUAAUACCGCAUACGUCCUACGGGAGAAAGCAGGGGAUCACUUGUGACCUUGCGCUAAUAGAUGAGCCUAAGUCGGAUUAGCUAGUUGGGGGGUAAAGGCCCACCAAGCCAACGAUCUGUAGCUGGUCUGAGAGGACGACCAGCCACACUGGAACUGAGACACGGUCCAGACUCCUACGGGAGGCAGCAGUGGGGAAUAUUGGACAAUGGGGGGAACCCUGAUCCAGCCAUGCCGCGUGUGUGAAGAAGGCCUUAUGGUUGUAAAGCACUUUAAGCGAGGAGGAGGCUCUUUUGGUUAAUACCCAAGAUGAGUGGACGUUACUCGCAGAAUAAGCACCGGCUAACUCUGUGCCAGCAGCCGCGGUAA